UGUUCAAGUCCUUCUAAAUGAAUCUCAGAGGACACCUUGGACCCAGGAAGACAUCAUGAAUAUUCUUGGAAGAGGGCAGAAAAUAUCUUAAAAGCUUUGCUUCUCAGGCAAUAACAUAAUCAAAAUUUUGCUGAUGUUGCAUGAGAUGGAGCACCAUCAGUUGUUCAAGGGUUAACUCCAGGUCACAAGAUGGCUGCUGGUACUUCAACUAUCAUAUUCAAAUUCUGAACAGGAAGACAAA